rnacentral:rRNA from 1 species
UACGGAGGGGGCUAGCGUUGUUCGGAAUUACUGGGCGUAAAGGGCGUGUAGGCGGCUUGCCAAGUCAGGCGUGAAAGCCCCGGGCUUAACCUGGGAACUGCGUUUGAGACUGGCAGGCUAGAGUUUGGAAGAGGAGAGUGGAAUUCCCAGUGUAGAGGUGAAAUUCGUAGAUAUUGGGAAGAACACCGGUGGCGAAGUUGGCUCUCUGGUCCACACCUGACGCUGAGGCGCGAAAGCGUGGGGAGCAAACAGG